rnacentral:lncRNA from 1 species
GUUUGAAGUGCAUAAUUGGUAGGUUUUGAUGUGUGUAUACACCUGUGAAACCGUCACUGCAAUCCAAAUACUGAACCUAUCCAUCACGUCAAAGUUUCCUCACAUGUCUUUGCUGCCUGGACUUGCAUUCUUGCCUGUCCGUGACCCCACAGUUAGCAACCACUGUCUGCUUUCAUGAUAGGUUAGCUCGUACCUUCUACAUUUUUAUACAGAGUAAUCCACCUGGUUUGUUUGUACAGCUUGUUCUAACGAGCAUGCCUAUUUUGACAUUCAUCCCUCUUCCUGUAGCCCUGCUUCCUUUCUUUUUCAUCUUAGUCAUGCUCCAUUCACUCACCUUUUGAUGAACAUUUGGGUUUUUUCCAGCCUUUGUGUGUUACGAAUAAAACUACUGUGCACAUUUGUGGACAAGUCUUUAAAUGGGGACAUGCUUUUAUUUGUCUUGGGUAAACACCUGAGAGUGAAAUAAACGGGGAUAUGGCAAAUGUCUAACUUUUUAAGAAAUGCAUGAUCUGUUUUCCAAAAUGAUGGUAUAAUUUUACAUUCCUAUCAACAUUGUAGGAAAGUUCUAGCUCCCACACAUCCCUGUCCACAUCUGGCAUGAGCAGUCUUUUUUUUCUUUAUUCAUUCUAUUCCUAUUCUUCUUUUGUUUUGUUUGAGACAGAAUCUGGCUUUGUCACCCAGGCUGGAGUGCAGUGGCUCAACCUCUGCUCACUGCAACCUAUGCUUCCCGGGUUGAAGCAAUGCUCCUACCUCAGCCUCCUGAGUAGCUGGGACUACAGGCUCGUGCCACCACGCCCGGCUAUCUGUACUUAUUCUAAUAGAGAAAAAGCGAUGGAAGUAAGGGAGAGGAACCAGAAGCAAUUUCAGGAUAAAGAAAUGAAGAUGCUAAAUCCAAUCCAAUUAAUUCCUUGAAGAAGUAAUGUCAAACAUCAAUCCAAGUUCAAUCCCAAGACUCAGAAGUAGUUGAUUUUAAAUAAAGCACUGCUAAAGAUGUUUAAGAGCAUAAAGUUUUAUGAUUUUGAAAGUAAUUUUCUCUGACAGUAUUUGAAUUUUACUAAAAAUGAAAACCAAAUGUGACUAUUUCUAAUAUGACAAAAAUAUAUGGAUUUGUACAGUUGCUCAGAAUAGAAUAUGCCAUUUGUUUGUAAAAUGAAUACGAAAUUAUAAGCCUGCUUUCCAGUAAAUGUAGGUUAUGCUCCAAAACCACUUCAAAAUGGGCUAAGCCUUCAGGAUUCCACUUCAAAAAAAUCAUAUAAUUAAUGGAGAAAUUAUUUUACUGUAUUAGGAGAACAGGAAGCUAACGUUUUAAUACCAAUAUGUUUUUAUUAGUAAAGAAGGUAUUUAUUCAAAAGAGAGAGACAACUAUGACAUAAUGUCCCCAAUUUUAUUAUUUUUGAAUUCAGAAAAAAUGCUUACCAUUAAAAUUUAAUUAAUAAGUACACAUAUGUCUAUUUGCUUUCAUCAUUACUCAAGUAUUAAAUGUGAAAUUGAAUAAAACAUUUCCUACAUUUUAUUUAAGAAACCCGAAAUUUUAGUAGAAAUGUAAAAAUGUAAAUAGCUUUCAGGUAAAAAGCAUUUGUAUUAGUAUUUCAGAAACAUAGCUUUAAAGUUGAAAGCUUAACAUCUGUUUAAUUUAUAACUACAAAUAAAAUAAAUGCAGUAUAAAAAUCAUAAUGUUUGGUGCUGAUCUUAACUAAAUAUUGACUUCAAACAUGAGUUAUGUUAAAAUAUGAACAUACUGAAAACUUUGUUAUUACAUGCUAAUUUUUCUCCAGUAAAGCAAAAACGUUGUAUUAACCUAUUUUGAGAUAAUUGUAGAUUUACAUGCCGUUUUUAGAAAUAAGAAAGAUAUUUAUUUUAACAAAAUGUUAACAUCUUGUAGUAUGAUAGUGCAAUAUGAUGAGGAUACUGACAUCAGCUGAGGGACAAAGCAUUCCUGUCACCACGAGAACUUCCCAGCUUGUUCUUUUAAAAGAACAUCCAUUUCCCUCCUACUCAUCUCUCUCCAUCCCCCAUUUUUUCAUUCCAGUAACCGCUUAUCUAUUCUCCAUUUUUAUAAUUUUGCCAUUUCUAGGCUGCUAUGUAAAUAGCUUUAUACAGUGUGUAACUUCUUGAGACUGGCUUUUUCACAAAAGAUACUUCUCUGGAAAGUAAUCCCAGUUGUUGUGAGCUUCAGUAGCUCCCGCUGUAUUCACAGGCUGUCCACAUAAUGAUUAACCAUUUCACUGUAGAAGAACAUCUGGGCUGUUUAUAGAGUGGGCUAUCAUGGGUAAAGCUGCUACAAAAAUGUAUGUACAGAUUUUCAUUUCUCUGAAAUAAAUGCUCCAAUGUGC